AACGGAUUGCUCUCCAUUCAGAAUGCAUUAGGAUAAAACUGGUCAGUUCUUUUCCGGUAUUGAGCUCCUAGGACGGAACUCUAUGCCGGAAAAGAAAAACGCAAGUGUGAAAGAACCUGAGAGACCAUCAGUAUUAGGCUACUUUCACACUCGCGUU